GACGUAGGGCGCGAGCGUUGUCCGGAUUUAUUGGGCGUAAAGAGCUCGUAGGCGGUGUGUCGCGUCGGCCGUGAAAACCUGGGGCUUAACUCUGGGCGUGCGGUCGAUACGGGCAUCACUAGAGUUCGGCAGGGGAGACUGGAAUUCCUGGUGUAGCGGUGAAAUGCGCAGAUAUCAGGAGGAACACCGGUGGCGAAGGCGGGUCUCUGGGCCGAUACUGACGCUGAGGAGCGAAAGCAUGGGUAGCGAACAGG
rnacentral:rRNA from 1 species